rnacentral:rRNA from 1 species
UACAGAGGUCUCGAGCGUUAGUCGGAGUCACUGGGCUUAAAGCGUACGUAGGCGGAUAUGCAGGCGUCGUGUGAAAUCCCUUGGCUCAACCAAGGAACUGCACGGCGAACCGCAUGUCUUGAGAUCGGUAGGGGCGGUCGGAACGAUAGGUGGAGUGGUGAAAUGCGUUGAUAUCAUUUGGAACGCCAAUGGUGAAAACAGGUAGCUGGGGCUGUGCUGACGCUGAGACACGAAAGCCAGGGGAGCGAACGGG